UACAGAGGGGGCAAGCGUUGUCCGGAUUUAUUGGGCAUAAAGAGCGUGUAGGCGGCCUGACAGGUCUGCUGUGAAAACUCGAGGCUCAACCUCGAGAUGUCGGCGGAAACCGUCUGGCUAGAGUCCGGAAGAGGAGAGUGGAAUUCCUGGUGUAGCGGUGAAAUGCGCAGAUAUCAGGAAGAACACCUAUGGCGAAGGCAGCUCUCUGGGACGGUACUGACGCUGAGACGCGAAAGCGUGGGGAGCGAACAGG
rnacentral:rRNA from 1 species